AUGGUGGCCGAGCUGCGCCCCACGAUGGGGAAGCUUCAGCACCGCAUUGAGCCUUGGCAGGGCUGUUGGCUCUCUAAGGCCGCUCGGAUGGUGCUCAUUAACUCGUCCCUCUCCAGCUUGCUCCUAUUCAUCAUGAGUUUCUACAGCCUUCCUGAGACGCUGCACCAUGAGAUUGCCACAGUCCAAGGACACUUCUUCUAG
rnacentral:rRNA from 1 species